UAACAUGGACGGCAAGUAACGUGAGCGUGGCCGGGUCCAAGCUUCCCACUCUGGGGAGCAAUAAAAGACGAUACAACGUUCAUCUGCUCUGCUAAAUGGGUAGAUUUGAGGGAAGCCACAGUAAGAUGAGUCUAAUUUAAUCAAUGUACAGCUGGACGUGGAUGAAGAGGGGUGUGCACAGCGUGAGCUGAUGAAAAGACAUUUGUCAAAGUCUACAGUGCCCUGUUACAGAUGUAUAGGGCCCUUGUUAAAGAGAAUAUAAAUAAGCCAUUCACCUAAUGAUCUACUAGGGGUCAUACAUUACAAGCUAAUUGUUUAUAUGUAAAGCUUUACUGGCCUACAUUCAUAAAACACCCCCUCUGUUUCUUUUCCUCACACAUAUACUUGGAGAUUUGAACGCUUUUGGGUCAAAGAUGCGACCUAAUAGAUGGAUAACAGCUCUCGCAGGCUGAUCAAAUCAAAAAGUCACACGCGUCUAAUCAGCGAACAGAAUAUGAGGAGGACAUCCGUGAGGACGGGCAUUGUUUAACCCGAAUUCGAGCCCCAUUUUACAGACGACAAAGACGCGGUCGAAAUGUGUUAUCAUGCACUUUUAAAAUGUGGAAUAAAAGCGGACGGGGAGGCUGUCUGAUAGAUCGGGAGUUAAUCAAAGCGAUGAGGUGAAGCGGUGGACAAGCUCGCCGUUCCCGAGGGGGGGGCGUUUCGCGGUAAUGAUACGGACGUCAACGGCUAAAAUGUACCCGGUUCAACAGCCGUUGGAGAUGACAGGGUCGAUGCGGAGACGUUAUAACCCCCCCCCCAAAAAAAAUACCAACAGACAAGUUAAGAUGUCUGUGUGUUAUCGGGCAACACUUAGCGGCUCGGGCUGCAGCUAGAAAGAAUGUGGUCCAUGUGCAGGAAGUGUCCCCCCCCUCUCUGUAUUUUCUCCUCCUCACUGGUUGGACUGCACACAACACAGGUUUUAUAUUUAAGGACAGCUUGACAGAGGCCGCUGCAGUGAGGACAAAGCCACUAUACAUGGGUUGCACAUCUACCAACUCAGCUACUGGCGUGCCCUGAAAGCUUUUAUUAUGAAAUUUCUCUCAGGUUUCCUGCACAGACAUGAAAAGUUUGCACGAAGGCGUUUUGUUGAUGGGAUGAAAUGCGGGUUUGGACAGACCUCAGCACUCACAGACUUCCUGCAAAGUCCCCAAGUCUCAGAGAGUGGUGAAGUUUGGACGUUUUAAUGCAGCCAAACUGUUUGUGAAAGGGCAGCCACUUCUUGGCAGAGUCCCUGAUGCACAGGACCUUCUCCAAUAUUUGGCAGAUUAUUAACGCAGUCAAGCCCUCAGAAAAAGCCCCGGGCCGUGAAGCCGAUUAGACAUAGAGGCCAAAGUGUGAAAAAGGACCCGAGGCUCCACACCAGGCGGAACAAUAAUAUCGACCAACAAGAAGCCGGGCCGCUGAACGUCCACAAUCCAAGAAAAGAGCUCUGUGACUUUCUUACCCGAGUGGAAAAGUCAAUGCAUGAAUUAAAUUCUUUGUUCAACAAUUCUCGUAGUUCAAACAGCUCUGUGCCGCCGCAGCACUUUCAUGGAAUAUUUAAAGUGUAAUCGUACUCGCUGUGAAACUGCAAAAACACUCCCAUCCAUUCAGCCAAGCGGCACCCAUAAGGCUCUGAAACACGCAUCCCAUCCUCGACAGCAUUUUCCCAUCUUUUCACAAGGCAGAUCAUGUUUCAGUGGUUUCAGGUCAAAUGGUUGAGUAAAAAAAAAAAAGAAAAAAAAAAAGAAAAACCAGGAAUGAAUCCAGUUUGCAGCCGUUACUCUCGCCAUUAGCUGACUUUUAACGGGACUGAACCAGCUGUCAGCCUAAAUCUGUGUGUCAUCAAAUCCCAGCGCAAACACACCUCCAUGCACUAAUUUACUAGACACGUCUUUCAUUUAAAACGACCGGGCUUCAUCGCGGUAACUGCCUGUUAAAGCCACGUAUGGCCAGAUAUAAAUCUGCGUCGGGGCUGUAACUGUGUUUUACUCAACUCAGGACAAAACCUCCACCAGGUUUUAUUCCAUUUUAAUUACAGAUUAUGUAAUAAA